CGUACGUUAGCGGCGGACGGGUGAGUAACACGUGGGUAACCUACCUAUAAGACUGGGAUAACUUCGGGAAACCGGAGCUAAUACCGGAUAAUAUUUCGAACCGCAUGGUUCGAUAGUGAAAGAUGGUUUUGCUAUCACUUAUAGAUGGACCCGCGCCGUAUUAGCUAGUUGGUAAGGUAACGGCUUACCAAGGCGACGAUACGUAGCCGACCUGAGAGGGUGAUCGGCCACACUGGAACUGAGACACGGUCCAGACUCCUACGGGAGGCAGCAGUC
rnacentral:rRNA from 1 species